UGUACCGCCUGGGGAGUACGGUCGCAAGAUUAAAACUCAAAGGAAUAGACGGGGACCCGCACAAGCGGUGGAGCAUGUGGUUUAAUUCGAAGAUACGCGAAGAACCUUACCUGGGCUUGAUAUCCUAAGAACCUUUUAGAGAUAAGAGGGUGCUAGCUUGCUAGAACUUAGAGACAGGUGCUGCACGGCUGUCGUCAGCUCGUGUCGUGAGAUGUUGGGUUAAGUCCCGCAACGAGCGCAACCCACGUAUUUAGUUGCUAACGGUUCGGCCGAGCACUCUAAAUAGACUGCCUUCGUAAGGAGGAGGAAGGUGUGGACGACGUCAAGUCAUCAUGGCCCUUAUGCCCAGGGCGACACACGUGCUACAAUGGCAUAUACAAUGAGACGCAAUACCGCGAGGUGGAGCAAAUCUAUAAAAUAUGUCCCAGUUCGGAUUGUUCUCUGCAACUCGAGAGCAUGAAGCCGGAAUCGCUAGUAAUCGUAGAUCAGCCAUGCUACGGUGAAUACGUUCCCGGGUCUUGUACUCACCGCCCGUCACACCAUGGGAGUUGAUUUCACUCGAAGCCGGAAUACUAAACUAGUUACCGUCCACAGUGGAAUCAGCGACUGGGGUGAAGUCGUAACAAGGUAACCGUAGGAGAACCUGCGGUUGGAUCACCUCCUUUCUAGA
rnacentral:rRNA from 1 species